GUCCUUCGUGAGAGAACAGAUUUGCUAAACGACCUAGUCUGGUUGAGUUUGGUAUUUACCGAGCAAACCAGCUCCCAUCAAUACUGAAAGUAAAAGCACGCAGUGAAGGUGUAGCCAGUUUUGGUGUUUGCCAGACAAUGCCUGAGCCUGUGUAAUCUGAGGACACGUCGAGCGCUUAUUACAGUAAAAAGCUUAUUUUUGCUUCACAACUUUAAUGUAAUGGAUUAAUAAUCUUCAGUAAACAUGGAAUAUCUCAUUGAAACAGGUAAUUUACAAAGAUAUUUCAAUUUAUUAGACCGUUUUAUAUUUGUUAUGCGUCAUAAAACUUAUUUUACGUAGAUGGUGCAAAACUAAAACUAUCAUUUGAAUAUUCAGACAAAUGUUUUUAUAUCAGUAACAGGCUUUUCUUCUCGAGUUGGUUUAUUUUUUCUCAGAAAGGGCUCGCGCUCCACAGCACUGUGCGCGUCCACGCAUUAAGCGGUUAUUAAUAGCCUACUACAAGAUUUCCCUGUGGCAUAUUUAUGUCUUGAAUAAAAAUAAUGCAAUAUAAUGUGUCACUGUGUUACAACAGAUGCUGAAUCGCAAGAUAUUGUCCCAGACCCAAUGUCUGAACUUUUACCUGGUGAGUAGCCUAAUAGAUGCGCAGUACUUGUUUUAACGUGGUAAACAAAUGUAGCACUGCGUUUGGCAUUUGAGUUUUCAAAUGAGAGAUUUACCUUUUGUUACUAUUUUCACAGACAAUGUCAUCUCAGAAUAUCUCGACUCACUUGAGUUUUUUGAAGAAGAUUUCGGUCAGUUUCACUCAUUGCCGUAUUUUUUGCAUAACAAUAUCAUCUAAAUGUCAUGAAGGCUGUAAAUCAUGUCCUUUUGUCUUGGCAGAUCCCAAAUUCUUUGAUAACUUUUCAGCAGUCGACACAGACACAACCUGCACGCCAAUACCAGAAGCUGCUUCUUUCCCAGAUGAAGUGCAAAGCAGAAAGCGAAAAGCAACAGCGUGGCCUAAAAGUCCCUCAAACGGAAGGCCGCCCAACAUUACCCCUGAGAGUAGCUUUCUUCUGAGUUCAAACCCAUUCCAGCAUGUAUUGCGCAUUCCCUUGAGCCCCCCUCUUCUGCCCUCUAGUGGAGGUUCACCACUACAAUUCAUCCAGACCAUCGGCCCUUAUACAGCGCCUCUAAUUGGCACUGUGGUUCCAACAGGGCCUACAUACGUGAUUGGUGAGUCCACUGUAAAAGCAUCAUUAAACAGCUGCAUGUGCCUGCAUGCCUGCAUGUUAUUUUAA
rnacentral:lncRNA from 1 species